rnacentral:rRNA from 1 species
UGGGGAAUUUUGGACAAUGGGGGCAACCCUGAUCCAGCAAUGCCGCGUGAGUGAAGAAGGCCUUCGGGUUGUAAAGCUCUUUUGUCAGGGAAGAAACGGUAGUAGCGAAUAACUAUUACUAAUGACGGUACCUGAAGAAUAAGCACCGGCUAACUACGUGCCAGCAGCCGCGGUAAUACGUAGGGUGCAAGCGUUAAUCGGAAUUACUGGGCGUAAAGCGUGCGCAGGCGGUUGUGUAAGUCAGAUGUGAAAUCCCCGGGCUCAACCUGGGAAUUGCAUUUGAGACUGCACGGCUAGAGUGUGUCAGAGGGGGGUAGAAUUCCACGUGUAGCAGUGAAAUGCGUAGAUAUGUGGAGGAAUACCGAUGGCGAAGGCAGCCCCCUGGGAUAACGCUGACGCUCAUGCACGAAAGCGUGGGGAGCAAACAGGAUUAGAUACCCCCGUAGUCCCUGAGCGGGCUGGCAAGGCGCAU